CUGCCAGGAAGCGUAGAGGCGGUGGUGGGUCGUGGGUUCCCGUUCUCCAUGACGGAAAGCCUGCAUUUUGAGCCUCCAAACACGCUCCGAUCUGUAUCAAAUUUUGAGAGGGAGUUCAAUUCGUGGAGAUGAGCAUCACUACGGAGUCGGAUUCCGAAUCCAAUGGUUGGAUUUUCGGAUUUUGGUGAGCAUGUAUAGCAGAAAAUCAUCUUCCUGGGCUAAACACUAAUGCUAUCAAGAACCGUUGGAACAAUUAUUUGAAGAAGAGGCUUGCAAUUACAAGUUACCUUGAGCAACAAUUCUCUACCAUGAGCGGGACCUUCCCACGGAUGAUGAGACCAGUGAUCACUCUCAUUAUCCCUAAUUUCAAAGAUAUGAUAUGAUAGUGUGGUGAUCAAUUUGACUUUUGAGGUAGGAAUUGUUGUGUUGUGUUGCAGGUGAGCAUUUAUUGCAAAAAAUCAUCUUCCAAGGCUAAACACUAAUGCUAUCAAGAACCGCUGGAACGACCAUUUGAAAAAUAGGCUUGCAAUUACAAGGUACCUUGAGCAACACCUUCUCUACCAUGAGCGGGACUUUCCCACGGAUGAUGAGACUAGUGAUCACUCUCAUUAUCCCUAAUUUCAAAGACAUGUACUUGGGACUUUGUAAGGCAUGUACUUAGGAUUCUCAUUAUCCCUAAUUUGGAAGAUAUAUGUACUUAGUACUGUCAUUUAUCCUUAA